AGCGUACCGUGGAUACUGAGCCCAUGAACUAAAGCAAACCUUUGCUCCUCAAAGCUGCAGGUAUCAGGUAUUUUGUUGCAGAAACCUGACUAAUACAAAUAGAUUCCAGUGUUCAUCCACAAAUGAAAUCAGAAAGAAUGGCUGCCAUCAAGAAAUCAUCUGAUAACAAAUGUUGGCGAGUGUCUGCGGGGAAAAAGGAGCACCGCUCCACUGUUGGUGGGAGUGCCAACCACUGUGGAAAUCAGUGUGGAGAUUCCUCAAAAAGCUAGGGUUGGAAGUUCCAUUCAAUGCAGCUAUUUCCCUCCUGGAUAUUUUCCCAGAAAAAUUGAAAAGAUCAAGUCACAGUGAUGUAUGUGCACCCAUGUUUAUAGAAACGUAAUUUGUAAUAGCUAAAUCUUGGAAACAACCAAGAUGUCCAUCAACCGCAGAAUGGAUGAAAAUAAUGCAGUUUAUACCAUGGAAUAUUACUCAGCUAUAAAAAGGAUGACCUUGAGGCCUUUAUAGGUAAAUAGAGACAACUUGAGACUGUCCUCAUUAGUGAAAUAAAUCAGAUUCAUAUUUGUACAUAUCAUAUCAUCUCUCUGGUUCUACACCAUUUUAUCAGUAUGAGUAUAUGAUUGUCAAUAACAUGCUACGAUACAAAAUAUUUUCAUUACCUCAAGGUCUUUUGUGUUACCCUUUGGUAACCACCCUUACUCUCUUUCAUGAUCUUUGCCUUUCUUACUCUCUUCGCUGGUUUAGCACAGCUACUAAACUGUAUUUCAUUUCUAUAAUUCAAGAAUUUACACAGUGCAGAUGAAAUUAUGCAGCAAGGAGCCCUUUGGGAUUGGCUUUUUCUAAUCAGCUUAAUUCUCUGGAUAUUUAUCCACGCUGAUGAAUGCUGUGGAUAUACCACUGUUUACCUAACCGCCCACCCACCAAAAGAUAUUUGGGUUCUUUCUUGCUUUUAGCUAUUUUCCUGACAAAUAAAUCUGUUAUGAGUAUUCA